rnacentral:rRNA from 1 species
AUGAACGCUAGCUACAGGCUUAACACAUGCAAGUCGAGGGGCAUCAGGAAGAAAGCUUGCUUUCUUUGCUGGCGACCGGCGCACGGGUGAGUAACACGUAUCCAACCUGCCCUUUACUCGGGGAUAGCCUUUCGAAAGAAAGAUUAAUACCCGAUAGCAUAAUGAUUCCGCAUGGUUUCAUUAUUAAAGGAUUCCGGUAAAGGAUGGGGAUGCGUUCCAUUAGGUUGUUGGUGAGGUAACGGCUCACCAAGCCUUCGAUGGAUAGGGGUUCUGAGAGGAAGGUCCCCCACAUUGGAACUGAGACACGGUCCAAACUCCUACGGGAGGCAGCAGUGAGGAAUAUUGGUCAAUGGGCGCUAGCCUGAACCAGCCAAGUAGCGUGAAGGAUGAAGGCUCUAUGGGUCGUAAACUUCUUUUAUAUAAGAAUAAAGUGCAGUAUGUAUACUGUUUUGUAUGUAUUAUAUGAAUAAGGAUCGGCUAACUCCGUGCCAGCAGCCGCGGUAAUACGGAGGAUCCGAGCGUUAUCCGGAUUUAUUGGGUUUAAAGGGAGCGUAGGUGGACUGGUAAGUCAGUUGUGAAAGUUUGCGGCUCAACCGUAAAAUUGCAGUUGAUACUGUCAGUCUUGAGUACAGUAGAGGUGGGCGGAAUUCGUGGUGUAGCGGUGAAAUGCUUAGAUAUCACGAAGAACUCCGAUUGCGAAGGCAGCUCACUGGACUGCAACUGACACUGAUGCUCGAAAGUGUGGGUAUCAAACAGGAUUAGAUACCCUGGUAGUCCACACAGUAAACGAUGAAUACUCGCUGUUUGCGAUAUACAGUAAGCGGCCAAGCGAAAGCAUUAAGUAUUCCACCUGGGGAGUACGCCGGCAACGGUGAAACUCAAAGGAAUUGACGGGGGCCCGCACAAGCGGAGGAACAUGUGGUUUAAUUCGAUGAUACGCGAGGAACCUUACCCGGGCUUAAAUUGCAAAUGAAUUAUGGGGAAACCCAUACGCCGCAAGGCAUUUGUGAAGGUGCUGCAUGGUUGUCGUCAGCUCGUGCCGUGAGGUGUCGGCUUAAGUGCCAUAACGAGCGCAACCCUUAUCUUCAGUUACUAACAGGUCAUGCUGAGGACUCUGGAGAGACUGCCGUCGUAAGAUGUGAGGAAGGUGGGGAUGACGUCAAAUCAGCACGGCCCUUACGUCCGGGGCUACACACGUGUUACAAUGGGGGGUACAGAAGGCAGCUAGCGGGUGACCGUAUGCUAAUCCCAAAAUCCUCUCUCAGUUCGGAUCGAAGUCUGCAACCCGACUUCGUGAAGCUGGAUUCGCUAGUAAUCGCGCAUCAGCCACGGCGCGGUGAAUACGUUCCCGGGCCUUGUACACACCGCCCGUCAAGCCAUGGGAGCCGGGGGUACCUGAAGUACGUAACCGCAAGGAUCGUCCUAGGGUAAAACUGGUGACUGGGGCU